rnacentral:tRNA from 1 species
GUCCCUAUAGCGCAAUGGAUAGCGCGUUGGACUUCUAAUUCAAAGGUCGUGAGUUCGAAUCCUACCUGGGAUG